rnacentral:rRNA from 1 species
UUAAAAGCUAUUAAGAGCGUAUGGCGGAUGCCUUGGCUCUCAGAGGCGAUGAAGGACGUAAUAAGCUGCGAUAAGCUACGAGGAGGAGCAAAUAUCCUUUGAUUCGUAGAUUUCCGAAUGGGGAAACCCGGCUGGUUGAAGACCAGUCAUCUUUAGAGAAGCUAACCCGGUGAACUGAAACAUCUAAGUAACCGGAGGAAAAGAAAACAAAUAGUGAUUCCCUUAGUAGCGGCGAGCGAAACGGGAAUAGCCCAAACCAAUAUUGUUUCGGCAAUAUUGGGGUUGUAGGACUACAAUAUGGAAUAUUAUAUUAUAAUGGAAUAAACUGGAAAGUUUAAUCAUAGAGGGUGAUAAUCCCGUACAUGAAAUAAUUUAAUUACCUAGUAGUAUCCUGAGUAGGGCGGGACACGUGAAAUCCUGUCUGAAUCUGCCAGGACCAUCUGGUAAGGCUAAAUACUACUGAGAGACCGAUAGUGAACUAGUACCGUGAGGGAAAGGUGAAAAGUACCCUGAACAAGGGAGUGAAAUAGUACCUGAAACCAUACGCUUACAAGCUGUAGGAGCCCUUCGGGGUGACUGCGUGCCUUUUGCAUAAUGAGCCUACGAGUUACUCGUUUCUAGCAAGGUUAAAUCGAUUAUCGAUGCAGCCGAAGCGAAAGCAAGUCUGAAUAGGGCGUUUAGUUAGAGGCGGUAGACGCGAAACCCGGUGAUCUACCCAUGACCAGGUUGAAGUUCCGGUAACACGGAAUGGAGGACCGAACCAGUAGACGUUGAAAAGUCUUUGGAUGAGUUGUGGGUAGGGGUGAAAGGCCAAUCAAACCGGGAAAUAGCUCGUACUCCCCGAAAUGCAUUUAGGUGCAGCCUCGAGGUUGAGUUUCAUAGAGGUAGAGCUACUGAUAGGGCUAGGGGGCUUCACCGCCUACCAACCCCUGACAAACUCCGAAUGCUAUGAAAUAUACUCGGGAGUGAGGGCAUGGGUGCUAAGGUCCAUGUCCGAGAGGGAAAGAACCCAGAUCAUCAGCUAAGGUCCCCAAGUAUAUACUAAGUUGACCAAACGAAGUCUAAUUGCUUUGACAGCUAGGAUGUUGGCUUGGAAGCAGCCAUUCAUUUAAAGAGUGCGUAACAGCUCACUAGUCGAGCGAUUGGGCGUGGAUAAUAAUCGGGCAUAAGUAUAUCACCGAAGCUAUGAGAUCGAAAGAUCGGUAGGGGAGCAUUCUAAGAUCAUUGAAGAUUUUUCGGUAAGAAGAAUUGGAGAUCUUAGAAAAGAAAAUGUAGGCAUAAGUAACGAUAAAGCGGGCGAGAAACCCGCUCACCAAUAGACUAAGGUUUCCCCAGCCAUGCUAAUCAGCUGGGGGUUAGUCGGGACCUAAGGCGAACCCAAAUGGGGUAGUCGAUGGACAACAGGUUAAUAUUCCUGUACUAGUUUUAACUGCGAUGAGAUGACGGAGAAGUGAAAGAUACGCGUGCUGACAGAAUAGCACGUCUAAGAAUGUAGGUAUAGAUUUGUAGGCAAAUCCGCAAUUCUGCUGAAAUUCGAGUGAUAACUGAUCCUUCUGGUGACGGAAGUAUCCUAAUCAUGCUCCCAAGAAAAACCUCUAAGCUUCAGGUUAAAACUACUCGUACCGUAAACCGACACAGGUAGUCAAGAUGAGAAUUCUAAGGUGCUCGAGUGAUCCGUGGCUAAGGAACUAGGCAAAAUGGUCCUGUAACUUCGGGAGAAAGGACGCUUACAUUUGUAAGCCGCAGUGAAUAGGCCCAGGCGACUGUUUAUCAAAAACACAUGGCUUUGCUAAAUCGAAAGAUGAUGUAUAAGGCCUGACACCUGCCCGGUGCCGGAAGGUUAAGAGGAGGGCUUAGCAUUUAUGCGAAGGUCUGAAUUGAAGCCCCGGUAAACGGCGGCCGUAACUAUAACGGUCCUAAGGUAGCGAAAUUCCUUGUCGGGUAAGUUCCGACCUGCACGAAUGGUGUAACGAUCUGGGCACUGUCUCAGCCACGAGCUCGGUGAAAUUGUAAUCUCGGUGAAGAUGCCGAGUACCCGCAACGGGACGGAAAGACCCCGUGCACCUUUACUAUAGCUUCACAUUGGUAUUGGAUAAUUGACGUGUAGGAUAGGUGGGAGACAUUGAAGCGGCCUCGCUAGGGGUUGUGGAGUCAAUCUUGAAAUACCACCCUUCAAUUAUUCGAUAUCUAACUCCACAAGAGAACAGUGUGUGGUGGGUAGUUUGACUGGGGUGGUCGCCUCCAAAAGAGUAACGGAGGCUUCUAAAGGUACCCUCAGUACGCUUGGUAACCGUACGUAGAGUGUAAUGGCACAAGGGUGCUUGACUGUGAGACCGACAAGUCGAGCAGGUACGAAAGUAGAGCAUAGUGAUCCGGUGGUUCCGCAUGGAAGGGCCAUCGCUCAAAGGAUAAAAGGUACGCCGGGGAUAACAGGCUGAUCACUCCCAAGAGCUCACAUCGACGGAGUGGUUUGGCACCUCGAUGUCGGCUCGUCACAUCCUGGGGCUGGAGAAGGUCCCAAGGGUUGGGCUGUUCGCCCAUUAAAGUGGCACGCGAGCUGGGUUCAGAACGUCGCGAGACAGUUCGGUCCCUAUCUGUUGUGGGCGUUAGAAAUUUGAGGGAACCUGACCCUAGUACGAGAGGACCGGGUUGGACGAACCUCUGGUGAACCUGUUGUGGCGCUAGCUGCAUCGCAGGGUAGCUAUGUUCGGUUGAGAUAAGCGCUGAAAGCAUCUAAGCGCGAAACUCUUCUCAAGAUGAGAUUUCUUUUAAAGGUCGUCAAAGAUGAUGACGUUGAUAGGCUACAGGUGUAAAGUCAGUGAUGACAAAGCCGAGUAGUACUAAUUACCUGUAAGCUUUGAAUA